rfam:Elusimicrobia bacterium RIFOXYA2_FTLL_39_19 rifoxya2_full_scaffold_350, whole genome shotgun sequence.
GGAGAGAUGACCGAGCGGUUGAUGGUGCUGGUCUUGAAAACCAGUGUGCCCUUCCGGGUACCGGGGGUUCAAAUCCCUCUCUCUCCG